UACGAAGGGGGCUAGCGUUGCUCGGAAUCACUGGGCGUAAAGGGUGCGUAGGCGGGUCUUUAAGUCAGGGGUGAAAUCCUGGAGCUCAACUCCAGAACUGCCUUUGAUACUGAGGAUCUUGAGUUCGGGAGAGGUGAGUGGAACUGCGAGUUGUAGAGGUGAAAAUUCGUAGAUAUUCGCAAGAACACCAGUGGCGAAGGCGGCUCACUGCCCGAUACUGACGCUGAGGCACGAAAGCGUGGGGAGCAAACAGG
rnacentral:rRNA from 1 species